UACUAUGAUGAUGAAGAUGCUCUAAAAAUAUACAGAAUCUAAUCUAGUUUAGAUUUGACUGAAAUAAACAUGGACAAGGAUAUGUUGGGAGAUGAUCCUUUUACUUGGAACUUUCACCUUAGUGUGGGACUGUGCAGAUUGAUCUGGAGGAUUUCUAUUUUGGAUGCCAUUAAGCCAUCUUGUAUCUUCUAGCAGGAAGUCAGAGUAGCAUCUCGACUGCAUCUUCAAACAAGACUUUUGCAAGCUGAUGCUCACAAGGGGCUCUGUUUAGAGGUUUGUUCCUGUGGGGAGGCAGGCAGCUCCUCCUGGUUGCUUCUGAAAGCUUCUCUUCAUUGCACUUUCCAUCUGCACUGGCUUCUGUUUUAGCCACUAAGGUCAAGUCGGUGUGGUUUUCCCACUCUGCCUGUUGCAUUAGUGGCACUCUGGAAGUGAGACUUGCACUGGAUGGGAAGUGUUUGGUGAAUUUUUAAAUACCAUUAUUGAUUUCACAUUAAUUUUCUUUAUGAACCGGGCAAAGCUCUUAUGCGAGGGUAUAACAGCCAAGAAAUAUUUGACAAGUUGUUUAAAAUCUAUUGCCUGGAAGAAGCCUGAUAGAUCAAUUAAUUUAUUUCCCUGCUAUUUCAAUAUAUCCUUUAAACAUAUUUUCACUGAUUGUUAUUACCCAUCCUGAAGUAUACAGCACAAAAGCAAUCAUAUAUUACCUGCAGCAGAGGGGGCUGCCUCCUGGAUCUCUGUCCACAAGAGAUAUAGAUAUUUUGCCCAAAGUUGGUUUUUUCCUUGCCUUCAAUGAAACAUGAUUAGAACAUAAUGAUUUUGCCUCUGCAUCAGUCCACACCAACUCUAUGGUGUUUUAGGGCAUCAAACCUGUAAAAAGGGCAGAUUCUUUUACAUAUGCAAACUCCUCUACCUGUUACAUCAGUUUAUUUCACAUUCCACCAGUGUUCCUUUGGAUACAGAUUAUUGAUUGCUCCCUAGUGAAUACCUUUUUAGUCAUUCUUUGGCCUCAGAAAAUUACCUUUGAAUGUUUUAUGCAAGAGUAUUCAUUAUGAACAAUUAAUGUACUGAAAAUGUCAGCACCUCAAGCAGGCAUUUUAUAAAAGAUGAGUAAAUUUAUGGUAAUGCAUCAUUCAAACUUCCUGCACUUUUCAUUCUUUUAAAAUUUAUGUCUUACAUUGCAGUUCAAUAGCCUGUAACAAUUUGAUGACCUGAGUGGAAUAAUGUCAAAAAUGUCUGUGUAUUUUAGAAAAAAUUUAGAAAUUAAGAUUUUUAUUUUUGCUAUUACUGUUUUUAGGUAUGUCACAGCUUUAUAGUAACGCGAAGUAUUUGCUUUAUGACAGCUCUUCACAUGCUUUUUAAUCAGAAGUGAAAAAAACUUGGUUCAGAGCAAGCUUCAGUCUACAUAGAUCCAUUCAUAGAAAGUGAGGAAAGUCUUUUGUAUCAAGUGGAGGGUGAAAAGACUACUUGUACCCAUUUAUAUUGAUAUUUGUUAAGUUUUAUAAUAUAGAACACCCUGAAUUUAAACCUCUUAAACUUUUCCCUUUGACAUGUGGAAGGAUCUCAGAUUGUUUUGCUUAAUUUAGUAAGCUUUAAGCCUCGAAAAUGAUGCGUGUUUCACAUCGCUGUCCAAACGCUCUAAAAAAGUAUUUUUAAGGCACUGCCAGCUAAUUACCCAA